AAAGUCGUAACAAGGUUUCCGUAGGUGAACCUGCGGAAGGAUCAUUACCAAAUCCAAAUACCCAAACCCCAUGUGAACUAUUGUAUAGUCUGUCUUUGGGAGAAAACCAUCCAAGAAAAAAUUAAAGCUUUUAUUAGCCUUUUUUUUUUCUUGGAUUUUUCCCCCAAUAGAGUCCGGCGCAACUUUAUUGUUGUGUCCAGAUUCGAAACCCUAAACCACUUGAUUUUUCUGUUGGAAUUUUCUUUUUUUAAUUAUAAAUAAAAGACAACUUUUAACGGCGGAUCUCUUGGCUCGU
rnacentral:misc_RNA from 1 species